rnacentral:tRNA from 1 species
GGAAGCGUGGCUGAGUGGUUGAAGGCACCGGUUUCGAAAACCGGCGGGCUCGCAAGAGCCUCGGAGGUUCGAAUCCUCCCGCUUCCG